CAGUCGCCGCGGGAAUACGAAGGGGGCUAGCGUUGCUCGGAAUUACUGGGCGUAAAGGGCGCGUAGGCGGACAGUUCAGUCGGGGGUGAAAGCCCGGGGCUCAACCUCGGAAUUGCCUUCGAUACUGGCUGUCUUGAGUAUGAGAGAGGUGUGUGGAACUCCGAGUGUAGAGGUGAAAUUCGUAGAUAUUCGGAAGAACACCAGUGGCGAAGGCGACACACUGGCUCAUUACUGACGCUGAGGCGCGAAAGCGUGGGGAGCAAACAGGAUUAGAUACCCGAGUAGUCCCUGUCUCUUAUAC
rnacentral:rRNA from 1 species